rnacentral:rRNA from 1 species
GAUUAAGUUAUUAAGGGCGCACGGUGGAUGCCUUGGCACUAGAAGCCGAUGAAGGACGUUACUAACGACGAUAUGCUUUGGGGAGCUGUAAGUAAGCUUUGAUCCAGAGAUUUCCGAAUGGGGAAACCCAGCAUGAGUUAUGUCAUGUUAUCGAUAUGUGAAUACAUAGCAUAUCAGAAGGCACACCCGGAGAACUGAAACAUCUUAGUACCCGGAGGAAGAGAAAGAAAAUUCGAUUCCCUUAGUAGCGGCGAGCGAAACGGGAAGAGCCCAAACCAACAAGCUUGCUUGUUGGGGUUGUAGGACACUCUAUACGGAGUUACAAAGGACGACAUUAGACGAAUCAUCUGGAAAGAUGAAUCAAAGAAGGUAAUAAUCCUGUAGUCGAAAAUGUUGUCUCUCUUGAGUGGAUCCUGAGUACGACGGAGCACGUGAAAUUCCGUCGGAAUCUGGGAGGACCAUCUCCUAAGGCUAAAUACUCUCUAGUGACCGAUAGUGAACCAGUACCGUGAGGGAAAGGUGAAAAGCACCCCGGAAGGGGAGUGAAAUAGAACCUGAAACCGUGUGCUUACAAGUAGUCAGAGCCCGUUAAUGGGUGAUGGCGUGCCUUUUGUAGAAUGAACCGGCGAGUUACGAUUUGAUGCAAGGUUAAGCAGUAAAUGUGGAGCCGUAGCGAAAGCGAGUCUGAAUAGGGCGUUUAGUAUUUGGUCGUAGACCCGAAACCAGGUGAUCUACCCUUGGUCAGGUUGAAGUUCAGGUAACACUGAAUGGAGGACCGAACCGACUUACGUUGAAAAGUGAGCGGAUGAACUGAGGGUAGCGGAGAAAUUCCAAUCGAACCUGGAGAUAGCUGGUUCUCUCCGAAAUAGCUUUAGGGCUAGCCUCAAGUGAUGAUUAUUGGAGGUAGAGCACUGUUUGGACGAGGGGCCCCUCUCGGGUUACCGAAUUCAGACAAACUCCGAAUGCCAAUUAAUUUAACUUGGGAGUCAGAACAUGGGUGAUAAGGUCCGUGUUCGAAAGGGAAACAGCCCAGACCACCAGCUAAGGUCCCAAAAUAUAUGUUAAGUGGAAAAGGAUGUGGCGUUGCCCAGACAACUAGGAUGUUGGCUUAGAAGCAGCCAUCAUUUAAAGAGUGCGUAAUAGCUCACUAGUCGAGUGACACUGCGCCGAAAAUGUACCGGGGCUAAACAUAUUACCGAAGCUGUGGAUUGUCCUUUGGACAAUGGUAGGAGAGCGUUCUAAGGGCGUUGAAGCAUGAUCGUAAGGACAUGUGGAGCGCUUAGAAGUGAGAAUGCCGGUGUGAGUAGCGAAAGACGGGUGAGAAUCCCGUCCACCGAUUGACUAAGGUUUCCAGAGGAAGGCUCGUCCGCUCUGGGUUAGUCGGGUCCUAAGCUGAGGCCGACAGGCGUAGGCGAUGGAUAACAGGUUGAUAUUCCUGUACCACCUAUAAUCGUUUUAAUCGAUGGGGGGACGCAGUAGGAUAGGCGAAGCGUGCGAUUGGAUUGCA